UACGUAGGGGGCAAGCGUUGUCCGGAUUUAUUGGGCGUAAAGAGCGUGUAGGCGGCCAUACAGGUCAGCUGUGAAAACUCGAGGCUCAACCUCGAGACGUCGGUUGAAACCGUAUGGCUAGAGUCCGGAAGAGGAGAGUGGAAUUCCCGGUGUAGCGGUGAAAUGCGCAGAUAUCGGGAAGAACACCCGUGGCGAAGGCGGCUCUCUGGGACGGUACUGACGCGUGAGACGGCG
rnacentral:rRNA from 1 species